ACAUUCCCCUGGAGUGGCUGGAAAAGAGGAGUCUCUCAAUAUUCUGCAACUGCUAACAGCCAGGAAGGGUUUUGAAAGGUAAAGACCAUUAGCUUGAGGGCAGAAGACAGACCACCCUGACUGCUGAAUUCUUCCCGAUCUGAAAUUGGAGCAUUCCAAGCUCCUCAAAUGAGUCAUAAGCCGCCAAGACUGAGUCUCUGGGUGCUAGCCAGGAUCACUCCCUCCCAAGUUAUUUCAAAGGGAGGGCCAGAGGGAGGAUGAAAUGAAAGAGAGAAAGAGAGAAAGGAAGGAAGAGAAGGAGGGAGAAGGGAAGGAUGUAUGGAUUUGGAUGUAUGGGUUCUAGUCCUCCUUCCCUGGCAAACGCCUACUCAUCCUUCAGUGCCCAUCCAAAAUGACACCUCUUCUUGGGCACCAUCUCCAGAGUCUCCUUCAAGCAGGUAGCUACAUCCCACAGAAUAACCACCCAUCUGACCAUGCAAGUGUGUAGGGGCAUGAAGACCAGCCCAGGAACGUGAGAUGAAUGUUUUGCUUCUUGCUCUGCCACUGACUCACAGGGUACUCUAAGCAAGCCUCUUCACCUCCUUGGUCUCAGUUUCUCCAUUUAUACCACUAAGGCAGUGGAUCUGAUGGCCUCAAGUCUCGACAUUUUUGUUCUUUUGAGAAGAAGCUCUUGGUGCUGAGUGGUCUUCUCCUGCCCUGGCAUCUCACCUUUCAAACGCUUGUCUCUUCUCACCGGACCCACCACUUAGCCUGUGCUCUUGGAGAACACCAGGACUCAGGCUCUCUGCACACAUCAUUCUAGCUCAACAUGUGUGGUAGAAUCAGAGGAAAGGAAGGAGUGGAAGGAAUAGUCAGUAUUUUGGCAAGCUCAUCAUACCUUCCCCCUUUGUCUAGAAACUUGAACCCAAUUUCCCUUUGAAGGCACUACCUCCUUCCCCUGGUCAUGAGUGAGUGCAGGUCCCAAGCCUGACAAUCAGCUGCACGGUGAUUGGUUCAACUCUGGACCUGUGACUCAAGCCAGACCAAGAGAGUGACAUGCAGGUCUUUGCCUGGAACUAUUCAGAAAGGACCACUAUUUUUCUGCUGGGCUAUGGAUAAUAUGUGCAUCCAUGAUAGGAGAGCCCUGAUAAUGAAGCAAGUAAGAGAAGAGCAGAGUGAAGAGAUGGUAGGAAAGCAGGUGCCUGAAAAUAUCAUUUGAGCCCCUGGGUCCAGCUGCACCUGAAACCCCACUUUCCUCUGGACUUUGCAGUUACUUGAGUUCAUAACUACCCUUUGCCACAAGCUAGAUUGAGUCUUAAUGCAUAUAGAAACAAGAGAAAUGAAAAAAGAAAUGAGAAAAGAGAUGGAAGAGGGGCAGCAGAGAAUGAUUCUCUACUGAAGCCUCCAGAAGGAAUCGACUCUGCCAACAUCUUGAUUUUGGACUUGUGGCCUUCAGAACUGUGAAAU